rnacentral:rRNA from 1 species
GACGAACGCUGUCGGCGUGCUUAACACAUGCAAGUCGAACGGAAAGGCCCUGCUUUUGUGGGGUGCUCGAGUGGCGAACGGGUGAGUAACACGUGAGUAACCUGCCCUUGACUUUGGGAUAACUUCAGGAAACUGGGGCUAAUACCGGAUAGGAGCUCCUGCUGCAUGGUGGGGGUUGGAAAGUUUCGGCGGUUGGGGAUGGACUCGCGGCUUAUCAGCUUGUUGGUGGGGUAGUGGCUUACCAAGGCUUUGACGGGUAGCCGGCCUGAGAGGGUGACCGGCCACAUUGGGACUGAGAUACGGCCCAGACUCCUACGGGAGGCAGCAGUGGGGAAUAUUGCACAAUGGGCGGAAGCCUGAUGCAGCAACGCCGCGUGCGGGAUGACGGCCUUCGGGUUGUAAACCGCUUUCGCCUGUGACGAAGCGUGAGUGACGGUAAUGGGUAAAGAAGCACCGGCUAACUACGUGCCAGCAGCCGCGGUGAUACGUAGGGUGCGAGCGUUGUCCGGAUUUAUUGGGCGUAAAGGGCUCGUAGGUGGUUGAUCGCGUCGGAAGUGUAAUCUUGGGGCUUAACCCUGAGCGUGCUUUCGAUACGGGUUGACUUGAGGAAGGUAGGGGAGAAUGGAAUUCCUGGUGGAGCGGUGGAAUGCGCAGAUAUCAGGAGGAACACCAGUGGCGAAGGCGGUUCUCUGGGCCUUUCCUGACGCUGAGGAGCGAAAGCGUGGGGAGCGAACAGGCUUAGAUACCCUGGUAGUCCACGCUGUAAACGGUGGGUACUAGGUGUGGGGUCCAUUCCACGGGUUCCGUGCCGUAGCUAACGCUUUAAGUACCCCGCCUGGGGAGUACGGCCGCAAGGCUAAAACUCAAAGGAAUUGACGGGGCCCCGCACAAGCGGCGGAGCAUGCGGAUUAAUUCGAUGCAACGCGUAGAACCUUACCUGGGUUUGACAUGGAUCGGGAGUGCUCAGAGAUGGGUGUGCCUCUUUUGGGGUCGGUUCACAGGUGGUGCAUGCCUGUCGUCAGCUCGUGUCGUGAGAUGUUGGGUUAAGUCCCGCAACGAGCGCAACCCUUGUUCACUGUUGCCAGCACGUUAUGGUGGGGACUCAGUGGAGACCGCCGGGGUCAACUCGGAGGAAGGUGGGGAUGACGUCAAGUCCUCAUGCCCCUUAUGUCCAGGGCUUCACGCAUGCUACAAUGGCUGGUACAGAGAGUGGCGAGCCUGUGAGGGUGAGCGAAUCUCGGAAAGCCGGUCUCAGUUCGGAUUGGGGUCUGCAACUCGACCUCAUGAAGUCGGAGUCGCUAGUAAUCGCAGAUCAGCAACGCUGCGGUGAAUACGUUCCCGGG